UUUAAUGUUUGAUGUUCUAACGUGGACCCGUAAUCCGGGUUGCGGACAGUGUCUGGUGGGUAGUUUGACUGGGGCGGUCUCCUCCUAAAGAGUAACGGAGGAGCACGAAGGUUGGCUAAUCCUGGUCGGACAUCAGGAGGUUAGUGCAAUGGCAUAAGCCAGCUUGACUGCGAGCGUGACGGCGCGAGCAGGUGCGAAAGCAGGUCAUAGUGAUCCGGUGGUUCUGAAUGGAAGGGCCAUCGCUCAACGGAUAAAAGGUACUCCGGGGAUAACAGGCUGAUACCGCCCAAGAGUUCAUAUCGACGGCGGUGUUUGGCACCUCGAUGUCGGCUCAUCACAUCCUGGGGCUGAAGUAGGUCCCAAGGGUAUGGCUGUUCGCCAUUUAAAGUGGUACGCGAGCUGGGUUUAGAACGUCGUGAGACAGUUCGGUCCCUAUCUGCCGUGGGCGCUGGAGAACUGAGGGGGGCUGCUCCUAGUACGAGAGGACCGGAGUGGACGCAUCACUGGUGUUCGGGUUGUCAUGCCAAUGGCACUGCCCGGUAGCUAAAUGCGGAAGAGAUAAGUGCUGAAAGCAUCUAAGCACGAAACUUGCCCCGAGAUGAGUUCUCCCUGAGACUUAGAGUCUCCUGAAGGAACGUUGAAGACGACGACGUUGAUAGGCCGGGUGUGUAAGCGCAGCGAUGCGUUGAGCUAACCGGUACUAAUGAACCGUGAGGCUUAACCUUAC
rnacentral:rRNA from 2 species